GAACCGCGCGGUCAGCAGGGCAGGAAGGAAGCAGCGCG
rnacentral:SRP_RNA from 1 species